UGGGGAAUUUUGGACAAUGGGCGAAAGCCUGAUCCAGCAAUGCCGCGUGUGUGAAGAAGGCCUUCGGGUUGUAAAGCACUUUUGUCCGGAAAGAAAUCCUUGGCUCUAAUACAGUCGGGGGAUGACGGUACCGGAAGAAUAAGCACCGGCUAACUACGUGCCAGCAGCCGCGGUAAUACGUAGGGUGCAAGCGUUAAUCGGAAUUACUGGGCGUAAAGCGUGCGCAGGCGGUUUGCUAAGACCGAUGUGAAAUCCCCGGGCUCAACCUGGGAACUGCAUUGGUGACUGGCAGGCUAGAGUAUGGCAGAGGGGGGUAGAAUUCCACGUGUAGCAGUGAAAUGCGUAGAGAUGUGGAGGAAUACCGAUGGCGAAGGCAGCCCCCUGGGCUAAUACUGACGCUCAUGCACGAAAAGGCGUGGGGAGCAAACAGGAUUAGAUACCCCUGGUAGUCCACGCCCUAAACGAUGUCAACUAGUUGUUGGGGAUUCAUUUCCUUAGUAACGUAGCUAACGCGUGAAGUUGACCGCCUGGGGAAGUACGGUCGCAAGAUUAAAACUCAAAUGAAUUGACGGGGUCAUAGCUGUUUCCU
rnacentral:rRNA from 1 species